CGGCGUUAUCAUCGUAUCUAUGCUACGUUGACGUCUGCAUCUGCGCAACAUUGAAGCGGAGAUACGCCAAUGUUUGACAAUCACCAGUGGGAUAGCGGCUUUAGGAACUGCGGGCGCGGGCCGAAUCAGGUGCAACGUUCGCAGUGAGUCGGAGUAGAGGCUGCGGCUUUCGGGCUUGUCGAUGUUGACUUGGCCAGUCUCGCGAACGGCGAAGUCGCGAAUCAAGCGGCGGGGCAGUGCCGACGCGAGCGCCGACCGGCCUACGCGCACGCGAAUAUCGCUCGCGUUAACCGUACGGAUUUGCGGAUACCCAUUUCCACACAAAAUCCUUUUAGAGCCGCCUUAACGGUUGGUCUAUAAAUAAAUCUGUAUGUCCGCCUUUGUGCCGCCGGUGAUCUACUCGCAGCUAUCACGAAAUCAGUGCAGAUUCCGUUCCUGAAUUGUAAACAGGACGUGCGCGAAUUAGAUUAUGUAUUCGGGACUACAUAUUUACAUGAAUGAAAUGAGUGUGUUUCUGCGCUAUAUGAGCUGUCGCCGCUUAAGCUUAGAUUUACGGAACUUAAGUUUUGAAUGCGAUGUUAUUCUCAUUCACGGGAACGAAAGAGGGUCAACAGUGUAUUAACGUUAGGAGCAUGAUCCAACUAAUUUCUGGCAGUUAAACUAAAACGCUAUUUAAUGGGUUCUCCUAACUGCAAACUCCGGGAAGCUUAAGAUAUAUUAAGCGACCAUACAAUAGUUAUUAGUGAAACGAUCGUGAGAAGUGUAGGAAUUAACAAAGUGUACAAACUCUAAUCGGGAAGUGACACUUUGUAGAAAGUGUUAAAAGUGAAGUGACAGUAACUUUUUGUUGAAAAUGUAUCACAACGGCCGCCACGGCAGCAGCACGUCUACGUCAUCGGGCAGUUCUGAUCUGAGGGUACGACAA
rnacentral:lncRNA from 1 species